GACGAACGCUGGCGGCGUGCUUAACACAUGCAAGUCGAACGGAAAGGCCCUUCGGGGUACUCGAGUGGCGAACGGGUGAGUAACACGUGGGUGAUCUGCCCUGCACUUUGGGAUAAGCCUGGGAAACUGGGUCUAAUACCGAAUAGGACCACGCGCUUCAUGGUGUGUGGUGGAAAGCUUUUGUGGUGUGGGAUGGGCCCGCGGCCUAUCAGCUUGUUGGUGGGGUAAUGGCCUACCAAGGCGACGACGGGUAGCCGGCCUGAGAGGGUGACCGGCCACACUGGGACUGAGAUACGGCCCAGACUCCUACGGGAGGCAGCAGUGGGGAAUAUUGCACAAUGGGCGCAAGCCUGUUGCAGCGACGCCGCGUGAGGGAUGACGGCCUUCGGGUUGUAAACCUCUUUCAAUAGGGACGAAGCGCAAGUGACGGUACCUAUAGAAGAAGCACCGGCCAACUACGUGCCAGCAGCCGCCGUAA
rnacentral:rRNA from 1 species